rnacentral:lncRNA from 1 species
UUUUUUUUUUUUUUUGUCAACUUUCUUUUUUCCGUUAGAGAAGCCCAAUGGACAUGAAUACAAACAGAUCCAACAAAUUGCAUUUUUAAUUAAGCCUAAAAGAAACCCAACAACAAAAGAUUAGGUUUAGUGCAUGAACGACACGUUGCUUGUCGUCGUGGCUUCUUCUCUGCAAAACCGAAGAAAGAGAAAGCGGUGCCGGAACCUUUGCCGGAAAACUCAUCGAUCUCUGCCUACAGUUCAGUUGAAAUCUGCUUGCACGCUCUUCAAUACCCUCAAUCGCCGCUGAUCAAAAGGUUUUCAUCUCAAAUCGCCAGAAGUUAACUUCAGAGAAACGCUUCAGAGAAACAAGAACAUGACUUUGUCGGAACACCACCGAUGAAGCAGCUCCAACUCUUCUACGUUCUGCACCCGAUUCCCAAAGCAAAAUCUAAAUCUCAAACCUUAA